rnacentral:rRNA from 1 species
CCUACGGUGUGCAGCAGUGGGGAAUAUUGGGCAAUGGAGGAAACUCUGACCCAGCAACGCCGCGUGAAUGAUGAAGGUCUUCGGAUUGUAAAGUUCUUUUCUAAGGGAAGAAGAAAGUGACGGUACCUUAGGAAUAAGCAUCGGCUAACUCCGUGCCAGCAGCCGCGGUAAUACGGAGGAUGCGAGCGUUAUCCGGAUUUAUUGGGUUUAAAGGGUGUGUAGGCGGAAUAUCAAGUCAGCGGUAAAAAUUCGGGGCUCAACCCCGUCGUGCCGUUGAAACUGAUGUUCUUGAGUGGGCGAGAAGUAUGCGGAAUGCGUGGUGUAGCGGUGAAAUGCAUAGAUAUCACGCAGAACUCCGAUUGCGAAGGCAGCAUACCGGCGCCCAACUGACGCUGAAGCACGAAAGCGUGGGUAUCGAAUAGGAUUAGAUACCCGGGUAGUC